rnacentral:rRNA from 1 species
CCUACGGGAGGCAGCAGUGAGGAAUAUUGGUCAAUGGGCGCGAGCCUGAACCAGCCAAGUAGCGUGAAGGAUGACUGCCCUACGGGUUGUAAACUUCUUUUAUAAAGGAAUAAAGUGAGGCACGUGUGCCUUUUUGUAUGUACUUUAUGAAUAAGGCUCGGAUAACUCCGUGCCAGCAGCCGCGGUAAUACGGAGGAGCCGAGCGUUAUCCGGAUUUAUUGGGUUUAAAGGGAGCGUAGAUGGGUUGUUAAGUCGGUUGUGAAAGUUUGCGGCUCAACCGUAAAAUUGCAAUUGAUACUGGCCGCCUGGAGUGCAGUAGAGGUAAGCGGAAUUCGUAGUGUAGCGGUGAAAUGCGUAGAUAUUAGGAGGAACACCAAUGGCGAAGGCAGCCUACUAAACUGCCACUGACAUUGAGGCUCGAAAGUGUGGGUAUCAAACAGGAUUAGAUACCCUUGUAGUC